AUGGUAUUCAUACCGCUGGGCUCUCCAUCUUAUGAUUUUUACGGAGCCGAUCGAAAGGGCGCAAAUCUUUUUGGAAAUAGUAUUGUUGCGCUUGACGCGGCUACUGGAAAAUACAUCUGGCAUUUUCAAACUGUGCAUCACGAUCUUUGGGAUUACGAUUUGCCAGCCCCUCCGAACCUGGUCACGAUCAAACGCGAGGGUCGCAUGAUCGAUGCCGUUGCCCAGACUACGAAGACGGGAUUCUUGUUUGUGCUUGACCGGGAAACUGGCGAGCCAUUGUUUCCGGUUGAAGAACGCCCCGUUCCGGCUUCGACUAUUCCGGGCGAGGAGGCAUGGCCAACACAACCAUUUCCACUAAAGCCCUUGCCUUAUGCACGACA
rnacentral:misc_RNA from 1 species